UGUGAAGGCAGGCGGCCAGUGGGGGGUCAGGGGGAGGAAAUCGGGUCCCCAGCCCCGUGCCCCCCUAAGCUGCAGCCCAAUCGGCAGGUCGGGGCGGCACUCUGGGGUGCGCUCCCAUUUUACAGAAGUGCUGCCCGCACUGGAGGCGUGGUGACGCGGGUGGCCGAGCAGGAUUCCGGGGCGCGGCCGGCCGGGGGACUGGGAGGCUGGGCCGCUGCCUCCUUAAAGCUGGGCGCCCGCGACGGUGAGCGACCGGCGCUUUGGCAGCUCCUGGGGCCGUGGCCCACCGGCAGGGGCUGUGGUCACUCGGAGGGCCUGCCUACAGCUGCCGAGGAAGUGAGGGUCCAAACUCAGUGGUCACGUUGG